UACGUAGGGGGCAAGCGUUGUCCGGAAUCAUUGGGCGUAAAGAGCGUGUAGGCGGCCCGGUAAGUCCGCUGUGAAAGUCCAGGGCUCAACCCUGGAAUGCCGGUGGAAACUGUCGGGCUAGAGUCCGGAAGAGGCGAGUGGAAUUCCUGGUGUAGCGGUGAAAUGCGCAGAUAUCAGGAGGAACACCAAUGGCGAAGGCAGCUCGCUGGGACGGUACUGACGCUGAGACGCGAAAGCGUGGGGAGCAAACGGG
rnacentral:rRNA from 1 species